rnacentral:rRNA from 1 species
AGUGAACGCUGGCGGUAGGCCUAACACAUGCAAGUCGAACGGCAGCACAGUAAGAGCUUGCUCUUACGGGUGGCGAGUGGCGGACGGGUGAGGAAUACAUCGGAAUCUACUUUUUCGUGGGGGAUAACGUAGGGAAAAUUACGCUAAUACCGCAUACGACCUACGGGUGAAAGCAGGGGAUCUUCGGACCUUGCGCGAUUGAAUGAGCCGAUGUCAGAUUAGAUAGUUGGCGGGGUAAAGGCCCACCAAGGCGACGAUCCGUAGCUGGUAUGAGAGGAUGAUCAGCCACACUGGAACUGAGACACGGUCCAGACUCCUACAGGGGGCAGCAGUGGGGAAUAUUGGACAAUGGGCGCAAGCCUGAUCCAGCCAUACCGCGUGGGUGAAGAAGGCCUUCGGGUUGUAAAGCCCUUUUGUUGGGAAAGAAAAGCAGCAGGUUAAUACCCCGCUGUUCUGACGGUACCCAAAGAAUAAGCACCGGCUAACUUCGUG